UACAGAGGGUGCGAGCGUUAAUCGGAGUUACUGGGCGUAAAGGGCGCGUAGGCGGUUUAAUAAGAUUGAUGUGAAAGCCCUGGACUUAACCUAGGAACUGCAUCGAUGACUGUUAAGCUAGAGUAUUGUAGAGGGUAGUGGAAUUUCCGGUGUAGCGGUGAAAUGCUUAGAGAUCGGAAGGAACACCAGUGGCGAAGGCGGCUACCUGGACAAAUACUGACGCUGAGGCGCGAGAGCGUGGGGAGCAAACAGG
rnacentral:rRNA from 1 species